GUGGAUGGAGAAUAGAAAUCUCCAGAAGAACAAAAGGGUAAAAGUCCUCCUAAUUUUGAUUUUCAGUGUGAAUACAAACCACGAAAGCG
rfam:Glarea lozoyensis 74030 unplaced genomic scaffold M7I_scaffold2, whole genome shotgun sequence.